rnacentral:rRNA from 1 species
AUCCAGCGAACUUGGCAGAGAUGCCUUGGUGCCUUCGGGAACGCUGAGACAGGUGCUGCAUGGCUGUCGUCAGCUCGUGUUGUGAAAUGUUGGGUUAAGUCCCGCAACGAGCGCAACCCUUAUCCUUUGUUGCCAGCGAUUCGGUCGGGAACUCAAAGGAGACUGCCGGUGAUAAACCGGAGGAAGGUGGGGAUGACGUCAAGUCAUCAUGGCCCUUACGAGUAGGGCUACACACGUGCUACAAUGGCGCAUACAAAGAGAAGCGACCUCGCGAGAGCAAGCGGACCUCAUAAAGUGCGUCGUAGUCCGGAUCGGAGUCUGCAACUCGACUCCGUGAAGUCGGAAUCGCUAGUAAUCGUGGAUCAGAAUGCCACGGUGAAUACGUUCCCGGGCCUUGUACACACCGCCCGUCACACCAUGGGAGUGGGUUGCAAAAGAAGUAGGUAGCUUAACCUUCGGGAGGGCGCUUACCACUUUGUGAUUCAUGACUGGGGUGAAGUCGUAACAAGGUAAGCGUAGCGAG